rnacentral:rRNA from 1 species
UACAGAGGGGGCAAGCGUUGUUCGGAAUUACUGGGCGUAAAGGGCGCGUAGGCGGCCUGUUAAGUCGAACGUGAAAUCCCCGGGCUCAACCCGGGAACUGCGUCCGAUACUGGCAGGCUUGAAUCCGGGAGAGGGAUGCGGAAUUCCAGGUGUAGCGGUGAAAUGCGCAGAUAUCAGGAGGAACACCGGUGGCGAAGGCGGGUCUCUGGGCAACAACUGACGCUGAGGAGCGAAAGCGUGGGGAGCGAACAGG